ACGAACGCUGGCGGCAUGCCUAACACAUGCAAGUCGCACGAGACCUUCGGGUCUAGUGGCGCACGGGUGCGUGACGCGUGGGAACCUGCCCUUAGGUUCGGAAUAACUCCCCGAAAGGGGUGCUAAUACCGGAUAAUGUCUUCGGACCAAAGAUUUAUCGCCUUUGGAUGGGCCCGCGUUGGAUUAGCUAGUUGGUAGGGUAAAAGCCUACCAAGGCGACGAUCCAUAGCUGGUCUGAGAGGAUGAUCAGCCACACUGGGACUGAGACACGGCCCAGACUCCUACGGGAGGCAGCAGUGGGGAAUAUUGGACAAUGGGCGAAAGCCUGAUCCAGCAAUGCCGCGUGAGUGAUGAAGGCCUUAGGGUUGUAAAGCUCUUUUACCCGGGAUGAUAAUGACAGUACCGGGAGAAUAAGCUCCGGCUAACUCCGUG
rnacentral:rRNA from 1 species